rnacentral:rRNA from 1 species
GACGAACGCUGGCGGCGUGCUUAACACAUGCAAGUCGAACGGAAAGGCCCUGCUUUUGUGGGGUGCUCGAGUGGCGAACGGGUGAGUAACACGUGAGUAACCUGCCCUUGACUUUGGGAUAACUUCAGGAAACUGGGGCUAAUACCGGAUAGGAGCUCCUGCUGCAUGGUGGGGGUUGGAAAGUUUCGGCGGUUGGGGAUGGACUCGCGGCUUAUCAGCGUGUUGGUGGGGUAGUGGCUUACCAAGGCUUUGACGGGUAGCCGGCCUGAGAGGGUGACCGGCCACAUUGGGACUGAGAUACGGCCCAGACUGCUACGGGAGGCAGCAGUGGGGAAUAUUGCACAAUGGGCGGAAGCCUGAUGCAGCAACGCCGCGUGCGGGAUGACGGCUGUCGGGUUGUAAACCGCUUUCGCCUGUGACGAAGCGUGAGUGACGGUAAUGGGUAAAGAAGCACCGGCUAACUACGUG